UACGGAGGAUCCAAGCGUUAUCCGGAAUCAUUGGGUUUAAAGGGUCCGUAGGCGGUUUUGUAAGUCAGUGGUGAAAGCCCAUCGCUCAACGGUGGAACGGCCAUUGAUACUGCAAGACUUGAAUUAUUAGGAAGUAACUAGAAUAUGUAGUGUAGCGGUGAAAUGCUUAGAGAUUACAUGGAAUACCAAUUGCGAAGGCAGGUUAUUACUAAUUGAUUGACGCUGAUGGACGAAAGCGUGGGGAGCGAACAGG
rnacentral:rRNA from 1 species